AGGGGUGUAGCUCAGUUGGUAGAGCGAAGGUCGAAGGUCUCCAAAACCUUAGGUCGUGGGUUCGAUCCCUGCCACCCCUGCCA
rnacentral:tRNA from 1 species